GGAAAUGUGCCUGAACUCAAGGACUACUUUGAUAGAGUAGAAAAUAGGGGUUAAAAUCCCCUCAUUUCCUUCUAAC
rnacentral:tRNA from 1 species